rnacentral:pre_miRNA from 1 species
AGUGGGAUAGCUGGGUCAAAUGGUGGUUUCAUUCCAAGUUUUCUGAGGAAUCUCCAUACUGCUUUCCAUAGUGGUUGUACCAAUUUGCAGUCCUAUCAUCAAU